UACCAGGCACCCGAGUUGUCGGGACGAUUAUUGGGCCUAAAAGCAUCCGUAGCCUGUUCUGCAAGUCCUCCGUUAAAUCCACCCGCUUAACGGAUGGGCUGCGGGGGAUACUGCAGAGCUAGGAGGCGGGAGAGGCAAGCGGUACUCGAUGGGUAGGGGUAAAAUCCGUUAGAUCCAUUGAAGACCACCAGUGGCGAAGGCGGCUUGCCAGAAC
rnacentral:rRNA from 1 species